rnacentral:rRNA from 1 species
UACAGGGGGGGCAAGCGUUGUUCGGAAUUACUGGGCGUAAAGGGCCAGUAGGCGGCCAACUAAGUCCGACGUGAAAUCCCCAGGCUUAACCUGGGAACUGCGUCGGAUACUGGAUGGCUUGAAUUCGGGAGAGGGAUGCAGAAUUCCAGGUGUAGCGGUGAAAUGCGUAGAUAUCUGGAGGAAUACCGGUGGCGAAGGCGGCAUCCUGGACCGACAUUGACGCUGAGGAGCGAAAGCCAGGGGAGCAAACGGG